CAUAAGAGAAUCGCAUGAUUUUCUUAUCAAAGAUUUAUUGCUUUGAGAUGGACCCGCGGCGCAUUAGCUAGUUGGUAAGGUAACGGCUUACCAAGGCAACGAUGCGUAGCCGACCUGAGAGGGUGAUCGGCCACAUUGGAACUGAGACACGGUCCAGACUCCUACGGGAGGCAGCAGUGGGGAAUAUUGCGCAAUGGGGGAAACCCUGACGCAGCAACGCCGCGUGGGUGAUGAAGGUCUUCGGAUUGUAAAGCCCUGUUUUCUGGGACGAUAAUGACGGUACCAGAGGAGGAAGCCACGGCUAACUACGUGCCAGCAGCCGCGGUAAUACGUAGGUGGCGAGCGUUGUCCGGAUUUACUGGGCGUAAAGGGUGCGUAGGCGGAUGUUUAAGUGGGAUGUGAAAUCCCCGGGCUUAACCUGGGGGCUGCAUUCCAAACUGGAUAUCUAGAGUGCAGGAGAGGAAAGCGGAAUUCCUAGUGUAGCGGUGAAAUGCGUAGAGAUUAGGAAGAACACCAGUGGCGAAGGCGGCUUUCUGGACUGUAACUGACGCUGAGGCACGAAAGCGUGGGUAGCAAACAGGAUUAGAUACCCUGGUAGUCCACGCCGUAAACGAUGGAUACUAGGUGUAGGGGGUAUCAACUCCCCCUGUGCCGCAGUUAACAC
rnacentral:rRNA from 1 species